rnacentral:rRNA from 1 species
AUUGAACGCUGGCGGCAGGCCUAACACAUGCAAGUCGAGCGGAGCGGCAGACGGGUGAGUAAUGCCUAGGAAGCGGACUGUUAGUGAGGGAUAAGGUCCGGAAACGGGCGCUAAUACCGCAUACUAUCAGAUGAGCCUAGGUCGGAUGAGCUAGUUCGUGGGGUAAAGGCCUACCAAGGCUAAUAUCCGUAACUGGUCUGAGGGGAUGAUCAGUCAAACGGGAACUGAGACACGGUCCAGACUCCUACGGUAGGCAGCAGUGGGGAAUAUUGGACAAUGGGCGAAAGCCUGAUGCAGCCAUGCCGCGUGUGUGAAGAAGGUCUUCGGAGUGUAAAGCACUUUAAGUUGGGAGGCGUGACCAACAGAAUAAGCACCGGCUAACUUCGUGCCAGCAGCCGCGGUAAUAC